ensembl:miRNA
AGAUUGCGAGCCUUCUGUUAUGCCCAGGCAGGGCCACCAGAGGGCUCCUUGGUCUAGAGGUAAUACCA